rnacentral:RNase_P_RNA from 14 species
AAAAAAAGAACGAACGAAAAGAAAGAAAACAAAAGAACGAAAAACAAAGAAAAAGAAGAAGAACAAAGAGUUUGUUGAUUCCAUCACCGUCCUCUUCUCCCUCUUCUUCCUCCCUCUGCUUUUUCCUUCUGCGUCUUCUCUUCCCACACUUCUUCUUUUUUUAAAAAGA